AGUCGAGCGGUAGAGAGGUGCUUGCACCUCUUGAGAGCGGCGGACGGGUGAGUAAAGCCUAGGAAUCUGCCUGGUAGUGGGGGAUAACGCUCGGAAACGGACGCUAAUACCGCAUACGUCCUACGGGAGAAAGCAGGGGACCUUCGGGCCUUGCGCUAUCAGAUGAGCCUAGGUCGGAUUAGCUAGUUGGUGAGGUAAUGGCUCACCAAGGCGACGAUCCGUAACUGGUCUGAGAGGAUGAUCAGUCACACUGGAACUGAGACACGGUCCAGACUCCUACGGGAGGCAGCAGUGGGGAAUAUUGGACAAUGGGCGAAAGCCUGAUCCAGCCAUGCCGCGUGUGUGAAGAAGGUCUUCGGAUUGUAAAGCACUUUAAGUUGGGAGGAAGGGCAUUAACCUAAUACGUUAGUGUUUUGACGUUACCGACAGAAUAAGCACCGGCUAACUCUGUGCCAGCAGCCGCGGUAAUACAGAGGGUGCAAGCGUUAAUCGGAAUUACUGGGCGUAAAGCGCGCGUAGGUGGUUCGUUAAGUUGGAUGUGAAAUCCCCGGGCUCAACCUGGGAACUGCAUUCAAAACUGUCGAGCUAGAGUAUGGUAGAGGGUGGUGGAAUUUCCUGUGUAGCGGUGAAAUGCGUAGAUAUAGGAAGGAACACCAGUGGC
rnacentral:rRNA from 1 species